UGCGUAGGCGGCCAUGUAAGUCUAAGUUAAAAGCCCACGGCUUAACCGUGGAAAGUGCUUGGAAACCGCAUGGCUUGAAUCCAGAAGAGGCAAGUGGAAUUCUAUGUGGAGCGGUGGAAUGCGUAGAUAUAUGGAGGAACACCAGUGGCGAAGGCGGCUUGCUGGGCUGGUAUUGACGCUGAUGCACGAAAGCGUGGGGAGCAAACA
rnacentral:rRNA from 1 species